rnacentral:rRNA from 1 species
AGAGUUUGAUCCUGGCUCAGGAUGAACGCUAGCUACAGGCUUAACACAUGCAAGUCGUGGGGCAGCGGAUGCUUAGCUUGCUAAGUAUGCCGGCGACCGGCGCACGGGUGAGUAACGCGUACCGAACCUGCCCAUCACACAGGGAUAGGCUUGCGAAAGCAAGAUUAAUACCUGAUGGUCUCAGUUGUAUGCAUGUAUGAUUGAGUAAAGCCUUCGGGCGGUGAUGGAUGGCGGUGCGUCCCAUUAGGAAGUUGGCGGGGUAACGGCCCACCAAUCCUUCGAUGGGUAGGGGUUCUGAGAGGAAGGUCCCCCACAUUGGAACUGAGAUACGGUCCAAACUCCUACGGGAGGCAGCAGUGAGGAAUAUUGGUCAAUGGGCGAGAGCCUGAACCAGCCAAGUAGCGUGCAGGAUGACGGCCCUAUGGGUUGUAAACUGCUUUUGUAUGGGGAUAAAGUUAGGGACGUGUCCCUAUUUGCAGGUACCAUACGAAUAAGGACCGGCUAAUUCCGUGCCAGCAGCCGCGGUAAUACGGAAGGUCCGGGCGUUAUCCGGAAUUAUUGGGUUUAAAGGGAGCGCAGGCGGGAGUAUAAGUCAGCUGUUAAAUAUCAGAGCCCAACUCUGUUAUGCAGUUGAAACUAUAUUUCUUGAGUACGCACAGGGAUGGCGGAAUUCAGGGUGUAGCGGUGAAAUGCUUAGAUAUCCUGAAGAACUCCGAUCGCGAAGGCAGCCAUCCGGAGCGUAACUGACGCUGAGGCUCGAAGGUGCGGGUAUCGAACAGGAUUAGAUACCCUGGUAGUCCGCACGGUAAACGAUGAAUACUCGCAGUUCGGUCAUUAUGAUUGAGUUGUCCAGCGAAAGCGUUAAGUAUUCCACCUGGGGAGUACGCCGGCAACGGUGAAACUCAAAGGAAUUGACG